ACAUUGAUAGUAUCUCGUACCCACCCACAACCACGAUCAAAUGAGGCUUUAAGGGAGAUGAAAUCCCUAAAAAUAUCAUCUAUACUUACUCCAAAUUAACAAUAAAUGAUAUAAUGGUUAACAUAAUCAAGACGAACAAUACUUCCCCAGGAAGAAUCGGUUCAGUUUACUGGAAGUGGAUGAUGACUCUUUUCUCAUGCGAAAUACCAAAGAAUUCGUAACAAUCGAUAAGGACUCCAACAUCAAAAGGAAUUGUAAGAAAAACUUACAGUUAAGCUUUUAAAGAAUGUGUUAGGCCAUCAACUCCGCCGAAUUCCAAAAAGGUUUGGUAUCGUAACUGCAGCGUAUGGUAACAGAACUGAACAGACUAACACAAAAAGCAAUUGAGAGCAAAAACUAUGAUAUGUUCAACGAUUUAGAAGUCAUUAAGAGACAAUUUGACAAUAUAAUUAUAUCCAAAGGCAAUACAGAGAUCAAUGAAUCCUUAAACUUUUUUGAUUUUAAAUUAUAACUACGUGCCAAUAUUGAUUAGCUUUAAUACUAUUUAGAAAAAUAUUAUUUUGAUAUUGGAUGCCAUAGCGAACACUUAUGACGACGGGCUUAGGCAAAACAAAAUGGACUUUUACAACAACUACUCUGCUGCUACUUCAAAUGUAGGAACGACUAAAUUAACAACUGAUUGUGAAGUAAUGAAGUAAAGUUAUUUUAAGCAUAUUAAUAUUUGCGCAAUAACGUCUAACUUGAAAUGUUGUUCUCUUCAUUUUGAAAUGUUCCGAAAAUUGGUCAUCCACUUGUAUAUACCGUGUCAUAUUUUCUUCAUAAAAAUAUUUGCUUCCUUCCUUUGAAUUUCCUGCAGACGGCUGAAAUAAAUCUAUCUGAAAACGCAAAAAAAAAUGCAGUUGACCGAUUAGCAGGAAGUAGCAUUAAAAUUUUACGCUCACAGAUAUGAUGAGCGUUAACUGAGCAUGUUUACUGAGCGGCAACCCAAUACUCAACUAGUCUGUUUUCUACAGAAUGCCAAAAAAAAUUAAUAUUAAAAUUACUCGAAUUCCUAAAGCCCAUUGAAAAAUUAUAAAAAAGAAAUAUAAUAAUACUAAGUUAACGUUUUGAAAAGAGGUUAAUAUCUCGAAAACAACAGUACAUCACAUGCUCUUUCACAACAAUAAAAACCAGCCAACUUCUUAAAUCUACGUUUAGAGAAAUACACUGGCGUUAUGUGGAUGUAAUAUCUGAGCUAACAAAAAAAGAGCAGCAGAGGAACUCGUCCCACGUUAUAAACUUACCCUUUUUCUAUCAAUAUAUAUAUAUUUUUUUUAAUUUAGCAUGUGCUAAUAUUUUAAUUUUAAUUAUUAAUUCUUCUUUAUAUUUGCAUCAAGAAAAGAUUAUAUGUUAAUGCACUAAUGUUUUCAAUGUAAUAAAUUAAAUUAAAUGUUCGAAUUAAUAAAUGGGUAUCCAUGCUGGUCGACAUAGGCUUCUUCAUGAUUUCUGGUGAUUGACACAUGGGAGAAAUCGGUAGACCCAACAAAUGGUGACGAUAAUGACCGAAGAAUGAUAAGGCAAUUAUAACCUUUAAGCAUCUUAAUAGUGUUAAAACUGAAAAAAUACU
rnacentral:lncRNA from 1 species